rnacentral:rRNA from 1 species
UAAGGAAUAUUGGACAAUGGACGCAAGUCUGAUCCAGCCAUGCCGCGUGAAGGAUGAAUGCCCUCUGGGUUGUAAACUUUUUUUAUAGGGGAAGAAAGAUACUUUUUUUAAGGUAGUUGACGGUACCCUAUGAAUAAGCACCGGCUAACUCCGUGCCAGCAGCCGCGGUAAUACGGAGGGUGCAAGCGUUAUCCGGAUUUACUGGGUUUAAAGGGUGCGUAGGCGGGCAUGUAAGUCAGUGGUGAAAUACCGGAGCUUAACUUCGGAACUGCCAUUGAUACUAUAUGUCUUGAAUAUUGUGGAGGUAAGCGGAAUAUGUCAUGUAGCGGUGAAAUGCAUAGAUAUAACAUAGAACACCGAUUGCGGAGGCAGCUUGCUACGCAAAUAUUGACGCUGAGGCACGAAAGCGUGGGGAUCAAACA